AUUUUUUUUCCUGUUUGAUUACAUUUUGUAUAUUGACAGCAUUUGUUUGUAAGCAUGUGUUUUCUUUUCCCCGAUGAGAGUUUUGUAUAUUGUUGUAUAUUGUUUAUUUUUUGGCAAUAAAAAAAAUAAAAAUAAAAAUAAAAAAUAGACUCCUCACAGACUAUAUGUUUCGAUGGCCAAUCAAAUUAAUGGAAGUAGGAGGGCGUAGUGAUGGAAAACGAAAUAACCCAAUCUGGCGAAGAAAACCAGGAGUGAGGGCGUGACGAUUUUCCAUGACCAGUGAAAUUAAGAGGAUUGGAGUUCACUACAACCCCGCUUCUUUUUUACUCACAAGAACGUUUUACUUGGCAAUUGUGAUUUACUGACGGUUGAAAUCAAAGUCUAACAUUUCAGUAAAGCAUUGGGAAUACAUUCCAGCAAUUUCUAUUAAACUCGCCAAGCCAUGGAAGUGGCUACUGAAAACACGACAACAGUUCAAGGCAGUCCAAAUAAUUUUGUUACUACAAAUCUAGGUAGAACAGUCAACACAACACUGGUGUGCUGGGAUUAGUGGUAAAUCAAUUUUGUCUAAAAUGUAUGGAUGACGAAUGGAGCUGUACUGACUUUGAAGGAAAGAAAUAGCCUAACUGCAAACUCUAACAUUGAAUUAAGGAUUAUAAAGCAUAUUAUAAUUGCUCAAACACCACACAUGACUUAUCAAAAUGCACCUGCCGAUACUGGACACAAAGGGAGAAACAUUGUUCAUGGACAACCUGGACAAAGCAGCAAAGAGGGACAUCAAACACUGGACACGGCGCCGCAAGCUACAGUUGGCGAAAGAACCGUUGGCUGAAGAGAAGUUGCAGAGAAGGUGGAUUUUUGGUUUCCUCUCCUAGCUGUGGCUCUGCGGAGUUUGAGUACGUGAUCAAAUCAGCCUACGAAUGAAGGAGAGCCAACCACUCUUAUGGGAAGAAGAGGCGUCGCCAAAACAACCAUCACAGCCCUACCCUGGACACCUGAUUGCUCAGAACAUUUGAAGAGAAGAGAAGCUGUGAUUUAUCGGGCAACUGAGGAUUUUUGGUUUCCUGAUCAACUUAGCUGACAAGUGAAGGUCACUUGAACUGGACUGAUUUACACACACACACACACACACACACACACACUCAAGUCUCAGUUGCUGCUACCAGACACUCUACUUUUUAUAGUUUUAUUAGGGUGUAGUUAUUUUGUUGUCCAUUUCUUAAAAUGUUUUGCUAUUUGCUUUUAGCCUUUCUAUUGGUGCAUUGCUGUGAGGUUAGUAUUGCAUAAAGGUUUUAUUUACAUUGAAAAUGUAUUUUCUAUUGCUAUUACAACAGUUUAAAACCUGCAUAGCAAGACAUUUAGGUAUUUUCACUUCCCCCAGUGCUGUCAUUAACUUACAAUGCUGUAAACAAAAACUGACAAAAAUAACUCAAACAACAACUAAGAAUGGAACUUGAAAAAACCACAUAAUCAAAAACAGCACCAAACUUUUUUCUGCCCAAGACUGAGCAACCUGGCCACACACACACAUUUUGUUUUGCCAUUGAAAGACUGGCAAUUUUGUACUAUCAAUUAUCCUUUUUCCCUAAACCCUAGCUUAGACUUUUUGAAUAAACCUAACCUAACUCCUACAACUAAAGGUGCAAUAUGUGAAGUAGUUGCAUUGUACAACCAGAAAAUAUCUAGUGUGUAUUCGGUUAUAGUGAAAUGAUAGUGUUUCACAACACUUAAUGAACCCAAAAUUAUUCUGGGCACAAACAAAACCACAUCCUAAAAUGUAGAAUUUCUAUCUGUCAACAGAAGCCAGAACGGCUUCAAAUGGAAAUGCUACACCUUCUCUUUCAGGGCCAGAUGUAACAUACAGUGAUUUUAAUGGCAGGUUUAAUUUGAACAGUAAGAGAUAGAAUAACAAAAAGAUCCAGAAAAAUGCAUGUCAAAAAUUUUAU